GAAUUCGCCCUUAGAGUUUGAUCCUGGCUCAGGACGAACGCUGGCGGCGCGCCUAACACAUGCAAGUCGAACGAGCGAGAGAAAGCUUGCUUUCUCGAGCGAGUGGCGAACGGGUGAGUAACGCGUGAGGAACCUGCCUCAAAGAGGGGGACAACAGUUGGAAACGACUGCUAAUACCGCAUAAGCCCACGGGUCGGCAUCGACCAGAGGGAAAAGGAGCAAUCCGCUUUGAGAUGGCCUCGCGUCCGAUUAGCUAGUUGGUGAGGUAACGGCCCACCAAGGCAACGAUCGGUAGCCGGACUGAGAGGUUGAACGGCCACAUUGGGACUGAGACACGGCCCAGACUCCUACGGGAGGCAGCAGUGGGGAAUAUUGCACAAUGGGGGAAACCCUGAUGCAGCGACGCCGCGUGGAGGAAGAAGGUCUUCGGAUUGUAAACUCCUGUUGUUGAGGAAGAUAAUGACGGUACUCAACAAGGAAGUGACGGCUAACUACGUGCCAGCAGCCGCGGUAAAACGUAGGUCACAAGCGUUGUCCGGAAUUACUGGGUGUAAAGGGAGCGCAGGCGGGAAGACAAGUUGGAAGUGAAAUCUAUGGGCUCAACCCAUAAACUGCUUUCAAAACUGUUUUUCUUGAGUAGUGCAGAGGUAGGCGGAAUUCCCGGUGUAGCGGUGGAAUGCGUAGAUAUCGGGAGGAACACCAGUGGCGAAGGCGGCCUACUGGGCACCAACUGACGCUGAGGCUCGAAAGUGUGGGUAGCAAACAGGAUUAGAUACCCUGGUAGUCCACACUGUAAACGAUGAUUACUAGGUGUUGGAGGAUUGACCCCUUCAGUGCCGCAGUUAACACAAUAAGUAAUCCCCCUGGGGAGUACGACCGCAAGGUUGAAACUCAAAGGAAUUGACGGGGGCCCGCACAAGCAGUGGAGUAUGUGGUUUAAUUCGACGCAACGCGAAGAACCUUACCAAGUCUUGACAUCCUACGACGCACAUAGAAAUAUGUGUUUCCUUCGGGACGCAGAGACAGGUGGUGCAUGGUUGUCGUCAGCUCGUGUCGUGAGAUGUUGGGUUAAGUCCCGCAACGAGCGCAACCCUUACUGUCAGUUACUACGCAAGAGGACUCUGGCAGGACUGCCGUUGACAAAACGGAGGAAGGUGGGGAUGACGUCAAAUCAUCAUGCCCUUUAUGACUUGGGCUACACACGUACUACAAUGGCGUUAAACAAAGAGAAGCAAGACCGCGAGGUGGAGCAAAACUCAGAAACAACGUCCCAGUUCGGACUGCAGGCUGCAACUCGCCUGCACGAAGUCGGAAUUGCUAGUAAUCGUGGAUCAGCAUGCCACGGUGAAUACGUUCCCGGGCCUUGUACACACCGCCCGUCA
rnacentral:rRNA from 1 species